rnacentral:sRNA from 1 species
CUCGUUCCUCGAUUUGCAACGGCAUCCUUUUUUGUGAUGGCGCUGGCAAGCUUCGGAAAAGAUCCUCAAGUUGUUUGCCAUUACAAAAAAGACAUAGUGGAAAGCGGGAUUAAGC